rnacentral:rRNA from 1 species
GAUGAACGCUAGCGGCAGGCUUAAUACAUGCAAGUCGUGGGGCAGCAUGAGUAGCAAUACUUGAUGGCGACCGGCAAACGGGUGCGGAACACGUACACAACCUUCCGAUAAGUGGGGAAUAGCCCAGAGAAAUUUGGAUUAAUACCCCGUAACAUAUAGAGUAGGCAUCUUCUUUAUAUUAUAGCUUCGGCGCUUAUUGAUGGGUGUGCGUCUGAUUAGGUAGUUGGCGGGGUAACGGCCCACCAAGCCUACGAUCAGUAGCUGAUGUGAGAGCAUGAUCAGCCACACGGGCACUGGGACACGGGCCCGACUCCUACGGGAGGCAGCAGUAAGGAAUAUUGGACAAUGGGCGAAAGCCUGAUCCAGCCAUGCCGCGUGAAGGAUUAAGGUCCUCUGGAUUGUAAACCUCUUUUAUUUGGGACGAAAAAAGGGAAUUCUUUCCCACUUGACGGUACCAAGUGAAUAAGCACCGGCUAACUCCGUGCCAGCAGCCGCCGUAA